rnacentral:rRNA from 1 species
UACGUAGGGCGCGAGCGUGUCCGGAAUUAUUGGGCGUAAAGAGCUCGUAGGUGGUUUGUCGCGUUGUUCGUGAAAACUCACAGCUCAACUGUGGGCGUGCGGGCGAUACGGGCAGACUUGAGUACUGCAGGGGAGACUGGAAUUCCUGGUGUAGCGGUGGAAGUGCGCAGAUAUCAGGGAGGAACACCGGUGGCGAAGGCGGGUCUCUGGGCAGUAACUGACGCUGGAGGAGCGAAAGCGUGGGGAGCGAACAGGAUUAG